AACGAACGCUGGCGGCAGGCUUAACGCAUGCCAGUCGAGCGCAUCCUUCGGGGUGAGCGGCGGACGGGUGAGUAACGCGUGGGAACGUGCCCUCUUCUACGGAAUAGCCUCGGGAAACUGAGAGUAAUGCCGUAUACGCCCGCAAGGGGAAAGAUUUAUCGGAGGAGGAUCGGCCCGCGUUGGAUUAGGUAGUUGGUGGGGUAACGGCCUACCAAGCCGACGAUCCAUAGCUGGUUUGAGAGGAUGAUCAGCCACACUGGGACUGAGACACGGCCCAGACUCCUACGGGAGGCAGCAGUGGGGAAUCUUGGACAAUGGGGGCAACCCUGAUCCAGCCAUGCCGCGUGAUCGAUGAAGGCCUUAGGGUUGUAAAGAUCUUUCAGCUGGGAAGAUAAUGACGGUACCAGCAGAAGAAGCCCCGGCUAACUCCGUG
rnacentral:rRNA from 1 species